GCUGAAAGCAUCUAAGCGGGAAGCGCGCCUCAAGAUGAGACUUCCCGGGGCACAAGCCCCCUAAAGGAACCAUGUAGACUACGUGGUUGAUAGGUCAGGUGUGUAAGUACAGCAAUGUAUUGAGCUAACUGAUACUAAUGAUCCGUGCGGCUUGACCAUAUAACCUCA
rnacentral:rRNA from 1 species